rnacentral:miRNA from 1 species
UACUCAGUACGUAACAAAGAUU